AGACACUUCAAGCUCUUCUGGCCUGGGUUGGGAGUCUCCAUUCACAGCAUCAGCCUCUGUCUGCCGCAGCUGAAGGGUCAACAGCCACCCAUCUCCACGCGCACAUCUCAUGAAUAGAAAUGUCUCAUACUGCCAGACAAAAUGGACUGCAAAACGCCCAUCAACCAUCAGCCAUUUUGCUUUUCACCCGCCUCUCUGUCUCUCCUUGGCUGGUGGGCCAGCCAGGAGGCCGUGCACGAUUCAGGCGCGUAAUCUGUUCUUCCUCCCCUUUUUGGAUUUCCAUUUCAAUCACACGUUCACAGCUGGAACCGAGGCUGCUGCGCAUGCAGAUGAGCACGGGCCACUUUUUUCUCCCCGAAAGCGACAGGCAGGAGAAGACCGGGAGGCUGGGGAGUGACAGAUUAUGCUGUGAUGCAAAGCAACUGUUGCUAACGGGUGCAAAUCGUUCGAUUCCACUUCAUUAUCCUUCAGCCUCACACGGAGUCCACAGAGAACGACUGAAAAUGUUGUUUUGGGUCAGCGCAUUUGACACGAGAAGCAAAUCAGACUGACAAUAUGAGGAAAAAGCAGUAGCUCAAACAAAAAAAAGUCUAGAUAGCAAGAAGUAGCAAUGGAAUGCUGGAAUGCUGAGGUUUUGUGGGACUCACUUUGAUUUCCACUGUAAAUGGCAGCUUUACAGAUGUCAUGUCCACCCUGCUGGAAGUGUGUGUUGCGGUAAAGACUGAAUUCUUUCAAGCUGGCUGAAAUGAGGUCUCACACGAUGGUGGUUCCAACUUGGAAGUUCCACACAACUUUCCUUUAAACUGCAAUGGAAACAUGGGCUUUACAGAUGCCAUGUCUGCGCUGCACGGUGGCGGUUUAAACUCUGACUUUAAUGUGACCUGCUCUUUAAACUCUACCGUAAGUUGACAACUUUACAGAUGCCGCAUCUUCACCAAAAACGGAUAAAUGAUAGUGUCAAAGUGGCAUCACCCAGAAAAAAAUCGCUAGAUUAGAAAAUUCUGAAAAUCGUAGUCAGUUUAAUCGUACAAACUCUGAGCUAUUUCCACGUUAGAGGGAUGAUUAGCGUAUUUAUCGAGACAAUUAAACAGCCACAAUUUUGCAAGUAACUGAAAUCCAUCAGAGGAUAGAAAGCAUCACUAAUGACCUGAAGAUUCCUUGUGCAAUUUGGUUCCAAAUCCUUGCCUUAUGCUCCAUGACUCAGGCGGAGCAUAGGUGGUCUCUGUUCUUCUUUGGCUGCAGUCCAACACUUUCCCACAUUUUCUCAAGUUCACUCUGAUGACAAAGCUGGAGUUCUUCAGAGAGCGCGUGACUUUAGCGGCCUGACUCGUAUUUGUGGUGUCAGAGUUCUGCGAAGCGGUCGCGACUGAGUCACGUUCUGCCAGUGAAUACUAAGGAUUGUUUUUCGGGGCUUCGGGAAGUUGUAUACUCGAGCUUCAGCCCGCUGCCUCCAUUAUACGCAGCGUAGAUACAAACACACUCACACUAAUUGAUGUUAUUGUGGUGGGAGGCCCUUAAUGCACUUCGCCAUGCAGCCAGGCACUCAUGUUGCAAGCGCAUCCCAUUUAUGGCAAAAAAAAAAAAAAAGAAAAAUCUGUUGCCAAUUGAUUAUAAUAACAGAUAUUGAUUUAAAUGGACGAGCGCAGCAGCAGAAGUAAUUUGCUCACAGUGAAGCAAUGAGGUGGGAUCAAAUGUGUUGGCCAUUUAAUCUGCUUAUUAAAUCUUUAAUGCCAUUGUCACCAGACACUCCGGGGGCUCCUUUUGUUUGGGGGUUUUCAACAUUUUACAGUAAUACAGAAUGUGAUUUACCAACAAGUACAGUAGCUGAUACAAGAUGUACCUCUAGAAGCGAAGUAUGCUUUUAUUCACAUUUAAUAGGCUCGCAUAAUAAUUUAUUAAUGCUUAAAUCACUCUGUUUACCAAUAUUUGGAUUACAAACAAGUCUAAUUUGGAGCCGCAUCAUCAAAUUACAUUACAGUGAACCACUGCAUAUUUGCAUAUCUCCCUAAAAAGAGCAUUAAACGGCUCCAGCUCAUUGAGAAUGCUGCAGCUCGGGUUCUGACCAGAACAAAGAGGUCAGAGCAUAUUACUCCAAUUCUAAAGUCUUUACACUGGCUUCCAGUCCGCUUUAGAAUAGAUUUUAAAGUUCUUCUACUGGUCUAUAAAUGACUAAACGGUUUAGAUCCUGAAUACAUGAAUGAAAUGCUAAUGGAAUAGAAACCCAGUGGGGCUCUGAGAUCAACAGACUCCGGUCAAAUAGUGGAGCACGGAGUCCAGAGCAAACAUGGUGAAGCAGCAUUUAGCUAUUUGUGCUGCACACAAAUGGAAUAAGUUGCCAACAGAAGUGACGUCGGCCUCAAGUGUGUAUGUUUUUAAGUCCAAGUUAAAAACUCUUCUUUCCCCUCCCAUGCUUAUUAGAGCAUUUCCACUUUUAAAUUAUAUUUCUUGCACCGCACGCUGUUUUACUUGUAUUUUCCCCCCUCUCUUUGUUUUAAAUGUUUAUAAGCUGUUUUUUUUCUUUGUUUUUAAAUGAUCUUAAUCAUGUAAAGCACAUUGAGUCAUCUUGUGUAUAAAAUGCGCUAUAUAAAUAAAUUUGCUUUGUGCAAGCUGCUUGA